rnacentral:misc_RNA from 1 species
UCUAGAAAACAAUAUUUGUUUCCAUAAACGUUAUUAGACCAUACUUUAAUAUGAAUAUAAAAAAAAAUUUGAUAACAUCCCGUGAAUAAUUAAAUUUGUUGAACUAUUCAUAGAGUGAUUAUUGUACAUUAAACUUUAACCCGCUUGCAGUCUGUAGUUAAACAACUUAAGUUAGAAUAUAUAACCAUAUUAUAUAAGUAAAGAUACAUCCGACGGGCCUGCAAGUGUUUUUAACCUUUAUAUAACACAAUAAAUAUUUACAUAUUUACAUCUCUUACUGUUACGAUACAUAUGAAAAUACAAGAAAUAUUUAGUAUAGACAAAAUAUAUUACAUUGAAAAUUGAAAAUUUGAGACAAUUUAUAUUAUUAGAUGGUUAGAUGAACGAUGCUUAUUCUUACUUGUAUUUAUAUAUUUUAUCUUAUACGUAGGGUAUCUAUUUCAUAGAUAAAAUAUAUAUUAUAGCAAAUUCUUUUUAGGUAAAAGAAAAACAAUCUUAUUUACUAAUAUACAUUUAAACACUAUGCAGAGCUCCUGCAUAAAAUGUAAUCCUAAUUCAAAUAAUAUAUUUAAUAAAACAAAAACAAAAAUUACCAAGAAAAUUAAACUAUUGUUUAGAUGUAUUUGCUAUUAGAAACUAUAAACAGAACACUCGUGAUGUUUUCAAAUUUAUAAUUGUACAUCUGUUAAAUCAUAUAAUGUAUAUUAUAACGUGCCUUAUUAAAGGGGGUGAUAGACGUGCGAGUAAGUUCGCGAACUUUUGGCUCGACGACCUUUUUCGCUCGUGUGUCACCCUAAGUACGCGUACUUUAAAACCGCCGAGUAAGUUCGUUGGCGAUCCAACAAGUUUGAAAUUUUGCUCGUAACCCGCCAAUUUUAACUGACUUUCAAAAAAGGAGUAGGUUCUCAAUUCGAUUAAGAACCUUAGAACUUUUGACUGGGUGGACCGAUGUCCAUGAUUUUUGUUUUAAUCAAAAGGUUUUGUAUGUCGUGUGUUCCCAUUUAAAUUUGAUUGCGAUCUAAUAAGUCGUUUCUGGGUUAUAUCUAAUAAUGCGUAUUUACGUGACUAUUUUUUCGUCUACCUACGAUGUGUUACUUGUCGAUGUAAUUGAAGUUGUUUUUUUAAACACAAUUAUGUUUCACUAGUCCGUGGACGCGCAACGCUUGUAGUGUAGGUAUUUGUAGUUUUUGUUACUUUUGAUUGAGAAAUUACUAGAAAUAACACAAAGCUUCUUCUGUCGACGACAUCGCAAUACAGAAUGAAUAAGUGUCACGUGUGUCACCGACGUCGAGCAGAGUAAGUUCGCGAUAUUAAAAAUCGCGUUCUUAAGUUCGUACGUCUAUCACCCCCUUUACCCAUUAGAUGUCACCGUAUAUGUGAUGAAUAAAUUACGUAGGUUCCUUUAUUAUCUCAGUUUAUCAUAGUACUAUUCAAGCGUAUUAAUAAUUACUAGUGGUCGCCCAGAGGUCGAAAUUCGACCACAAUUAAAAAUUAAAAUUAAAGAAAAAAAAUGAAAAUAAAGAAUAUUUUUUUAAAUUUUUCAAUUUGACUACAGACUUUGGCAAUCAACAAAAAAGUAUACUUAAUAAGCGUGCGUGUCAUAUACAUGGUAGUGUGUUUAAUGUUUUUUUAUUGAUUUAAUGUACUUUUUAUCCAUAAUUUUAAAAAAAUGAACAUCCUGCACUUCUUUAUAUACUAUAAGUGUGCGAAAUUUCAUACUCCUCCGUCCGCGUAAUUUUCGUAAAAAGGGGUACAAAGUUUUUGCUCCACGUAUGAAUAUAUAGAUUAUGAGGGUAGUACGACUUAAAAAAUAAACAAAAUAUCAGUAGGAAUUGUGUCACCGAAAUGUCGUGGUUGUAAGUAAAUAAUUUUAGUGUUAUACCCUGUCCGUUCGUUUAUUUUCUUCUUGACAGUUCAAGAAAAUUUGAAAUUUGUGACUCCCUCGCAUAUUACCAAUUCGAUUUGAAAUCAUAAUCGAUUGUAUUUAUGAAGAAUUUCCUAUCGAUUUAAUGAAAUGUUUUUAGUCUUAAAAAUAUUAAUUAUUCGUUUAUUAGUUAGUAUGUUAAAUAAAUAAGUAGGUAGGUAUGUAAUUUUCCAAGUAUAACUAACCACGCGUUUUAAAGUUAAAUUUCACUAGCGCGUGCAUAGUUACAUUUUAAGGCAGCCAUCAAUAAAUAAAUAAAUAAAUAAAUGAACAGAGUUAUUGUUCUUUACUCUUGGUUUGAAAUUAAAUUCCAAAAUUUCGACUUAAAUCGUUGCAAAUAAUAAAACUUGGGAGUCAUAUAUACUAUUUUUUUUUCUUUUUUAUUAAAUUUAUAGAAACAAUAAUUACAUGACGUCCAAAUAUUUUUAUCAUAUGAUCGAUUUAUCGUAUUUUAAAAACUGUUUCGUAGUCCACUGUUGUUUAUUAUGCACAGGGCACUUCACUCUAUCAAUCAAAUCGUCAAUAAAGUAUAACAUUACUGUAAAAUUAUUUAGUACACUAUCCGAAAAAAAAACUAUAAUAUACAGGCGUAAGCUGUCAAAAAGAAACUAAAGGGUUGGACAAGGUAUACGAGCCCCGAUGCAAAAUAGUUCGCCUAGUGUGAAAUUUU